rnacentral:rRNA from 1 species
AACGAACGCUGGCGGCAUGCCUAAUACAUGCAAGUCGAACGAUCACUUCGGUGGUAGUGGCGCACGGGUGCGUAACGCGUGGGAAUCUGCCCUUGGGUUCGGAAUAACAUCGGGAAACUGAUGCUAAUACCGGAUGAUGACGUAAGUCCAAAGAUUUAUCGCCCAGGGAUGAGCCCGCGUAGGAUUAGCUAGUUGGUGGGGUAAAGGCCUACCAAGGCGACGAUCCUUAGCUGGUCUGAGAGGAUGAUCAGCCACACUGGGACUGAGACACGGCCCAGACUCCUACGGGAGGCAGCAGUAGGGAAUAUUGGACAAUGGGGGCAACCCUGAUCCAGCAAUGCCGCGUGAGUGAUGAAGGCCUUAGGGUUGUAAAGCUCUUUUACCCGGGAUGAUAAUGACAGUACCGGGAGAAUAAGCCCCGGCUAACUCCGUGCCAGCCGCCGCCGUAA